UCCGGAGACUGCAAGCGUUACUCGGAAUCAUUGGGUGUAAAGGGUGCGUAGGCGGGAGCCUAAGUCUGUGGUGAAAUCUUGCCGCUUAACGGUAAAAUGGCCAUGGAUACUGGGUUUCUUGAGUACAGGAGAGGUCGGUGGAAUUCGUAGUGUAGCGGUGAAAUGCAUAGAUAUUACGAAGAACAUCAGUGGCGAAGGCGGCCGACUGGACUGUAACUGACGCUGAGGCACGAAAGCGUGGGGAGCGAACAGG
rnacentral:misc_RNA from 1 species